rnacentral:rRNA from 1 species
UACGGGGGGGGGUAAGCGUUGUUCGGAAUUACUGGGCGUAAAGGGCUCGUAGGCGGCCAACUAAGUCAGACGUGAAAUCCCUCAGCUUAACUGGGGGAACUGCGUCUGAUACUGGAUGGCUUGGAUCCGGGAGAGGGAUGCGGAAUUCCAGGUGUAGCGGUGAAAUGCGUAGAUAUCAGGAGGAACACCGGUGGCGAAGGCGGCUCUCUGGACCACAACUGACGCUGAGGCGACGGAAAGCUAGGGGAGCAAACACGG